UUUGUAAAUUAACUACAUAACUUUUUAGACAUAAAUUUUUGGAAAAACUUCAAAAAAACCCCCUAUGGUUUCACACUUUUUCACUUUAGUACCAUGUAGUUUAAAGUGUAUCAUGUUAGUACCCUGUGGUUUCUCACUUUAUCACUUUAGUACCCUGUGGUUUAAAGUGUAUAAAAUUAGUACCCUGUGAUUUUGCACUUUAUCACUUUAGUACCCUGUGGUUUCAUACUUUAUUACUUUAGUACCCUAUGGUUUAAAAAACCACAGGAUACUAACUUGAUACAAAAUUAAAAUCACAGAAUAUUAAAGUGAUAAAGUGCAAAAUCACAGAGUACUAACUUGAUACAUUUUAAAUUAUAGGGUACUAAAGUGAUAAAGUGAGAACCACAUUGUACUAACUUAAUACAUUUUAAACCACAGGGUACUAAAGUGAAAAAAAAUUGAAACCACAAGGGGGGUUUUCGAAGUUUUCCCUAAAUUUUUUAGAUAUUGUAAAUUUUAAAUAUUUAUUUAGAUUUUAAUUUUAUAAUCUUAAUAAUCAUUAAAUUAU
rnacentral:lncRNA from 1 species